rnacentral:lncRNA from 1 species
GGCGAAAUCGCCAUCUCGACACCUUCAUGUGAGAGAUACCUUCAUUUCACCUCUUCGUCCCUUCCUACAUGAUAAAGCGACCAUCUUUUGGCAUGAGCUAAGGUACUUGACUCUCUUAAUUCUCUUGGGAAGAAUGAGAAAUUUUUUUUCUUUUUUGCCCCUUUUCCUGACCAAUUUUCAAUUGUACUAGAGUAAGACUGCGUGAUGCGCGGGACGGUAAAUUAAUAAAAAUAUAAAAUAUAUUUUAAUUAAUAUUAUAUUAUUUAAAUAUUAAUUAAAAUAUAUAUAAAUUGAUAUUAAAUUUGAUAUAUUUNNNNNNNNNNNNNNNNNNNUUUUUAUAUGGUAUUUAUCUUCUUUUUUUUAUUUUUAGUUAUUGUUAAAGUUGUUUCUUUUUUCUUUCUAUCAUAUGUUCUUGUUAAGACGUUUUUUUUUUACUUGUUGACAUAUAUGCAUUUUUUAUUGUCUUUUUUUAUUUAUCUUUUUCUUGGAUUCGUUUAUUUUUCUUUUUUCUUAAUCUUUUGAUUGGUAUAUUAUUUAGUUAUCAUGAUAUUAGUGUUGGUGAAGUUAGUUCCUAUAAUCAAUAAAUAAUAUAAAUGAAUAUUUUGAGUAAAUAAAUUUUUUAUAGUAUUAUUUAUUUUAUUUGUUGCAAUAGAGGUUGAAUGUUAACAUUUUUUUGUUGACAAAUAUCUUGGGAACAAUAUAUUAUUUUUUAAAACUAAAAUUAUUUACUUUGACUUCAAAUAUAAUUGGUAUAAAUUUUUUAAUUGAAAUGGUGCUUCAGUGUCGUUACUGUUUUAGAAUGAAAUUAGAUUUAAAACAAUUGAGUUUAAUAAUUUUUUACUUCUCUAUCAAAUAACACAAAAACUGUAGCACUUUGAUCUAAACUUUUUAAUUUAUUUCAAAAAUAAAACUAAGUCACACUUAUUAGCAUGACAAAUAUUAAUAAAACGUGAAAUCAAGAAAUAUAUGAAAUUUAACAAUGUUAACUUUUUUUUUAUAAAUGAUUCCAUCAAUCACAUUGAUUUUAUUAGGGACGAAGUUAUAGACUUAACAUAUUGGGUUAAAUAACUAACACUUAAAAAAGAAAUUUAUAAAAAAGAAGCUAUCCUUCUCCUUUAGCUUGUCCAUCAAACAAAAACAACAAAUAAAAACUCAGCAAUGAUAUCAAUAAAAAAGGAUAUAAAAAAAAACAAAUAAAAAACUAAUCUUACUAAAUUAAUAUCAUUUCUUACAUUCACAUUCGUGCCACUUUUACCUCCAAAACGUAACAAAGUUUUUUUUUUUUAAUUUGUUCUUUCUGUAACAAAAUUUUACCAUUUAAUCUUUUAACUUUAUCCUUUUUCUCUAACCAAACAACCACGGCUGGCUUAACCAAACUGGUUAUUUCCCUUUUAAUUUUUUUUGUCGUCCAAUUUUUCUUGUUUACUAUUUAUCAAAAAUAUUUUACUACUGGCUAAGUCGUAAAUCCAAGGUUUAUAAAGAAAAAAUAUAAAUAAUAUUAAAAAUCAACAUAAAUAAGCAAGGAAAAAAUAUGUUAAUAUAAAUUCUUAUGUUAAUAUAAAUUUCUUUUUCUAGAAUGGUGAUUAUAUUUAGUGGAGCAAGUAUUAUUUUACCCAUCAGAUAAUUUAAAAAAAGACUACUCAAAAGAUCUAGCAAAAUAGCUUUCAUGAUAAAUUUUAUUAAUGCAGUAAAAUCACCACAUGCAUUUAUAAAUUCAUAAUCGAAAUAAGAGUUUCUCGUCAAUUAUUUUAUCGCUCCAGCAAUUAGUUACUAUAUUACAAUAUAAGCAUUUUAAAACAGUUAAAUUUUUUGCUUUGGAAGUGUUACAAUGGGUAACUGGAGAUUAAUAGGCUGGACUGAUAAGGUUGGCCCAAACGUCUAGAGGAGGUGAUCUCCAACUUGAUUCGCGUUUGGGAGCCACCGUCCGACUUGUGUGUAUAGGGGUGGUACCUGCAAAGACACUCCGAUGCCUAAGUUAGCAAAAGGUUUUAGCAGGUUUAGAGAGUAUUGGAACUUAGAGAUACCUGAGGGGUGUCAGUGUAUUUAUAGUGGUGAACCAAUAACCACCGUUGGAGUAGUUCCACCUUUUAAGGAGGAUAACCGUCCCUUUAUCUUAAGGAAGUUGAGAUAUGGCUCCUGGAAGUGGGUUGCGAGAUUUUAGGGGCAGUUACUUAUUUGAAUAAGCAUGAUCUGCCAGCUGUCCUUCGAGCCCGACAUCUUUGAGGUGGAGUCUGUGUUAAUUCUGACCUCCUCUGAGGAGGUCGGUCGGAAGCGAAGGCCAAUCUUUGGAUUGGGCCUUUUGGUGUGCUUGGACCUGGGCCCUAGUGUUGGACCAGAGUAUGAACAGUUUCCCUACUCGAGUCCGAUCUCUUUUAAUUAUGAGCUGGACUCGAGUAUUUGAACUCGGGCUUGUAGCCGACGUGAUGCAGAAACCGACGUGAUUCAAAUUUCUCAACAGUCGCGUCUAAUCAAACGUCGCGUCUGUUAUGGGUUUUGUAUUUACACGUGGGGGCAGUUAUAUUGGUAACAGCGCGUUUCUUUAAUGAUCGCGUUGAGUUACCCUUAUGCUCCUGGCGUGUUUAUAAAUACUUUUCCCUCUCGUUUCUUCAUCUUCUUUCAUUUUCUGUAAUCUCUUACCCAGAAUCCUUAUUUUCUCAAAGAGAAAGCUCUUUAGCGUUCCUUCUUGCUAUGACAGUUGUUACCUCUGCUUCUCUUCGCACUCAUUAACAAAAGGUUAGUCUCUAUCCUUCUCCUUUUAUCAUUUACGUUUGAUACCUUUUGCGCGUUUAGAGGAGAUUUUGCAUGCUGUCAGUGAGUACGUUGGUCUAGCCAUUUUUGUUUUCAUGCCCUUGAGAGAGGCUGUUUCGUCUUUUAGAGGUUCUCUGUAUGAUCUUUUUCAUUUUUCUUUGUAGGUCUUUGUCGCUUUUUCUCCUAUUUUUUUAAUUGGAAAAGAUGACUUCUCACGUUUCUGAGUGGGUAGACGUUACUGUUCUUGGAGAGGAACCCCUAGUAGACACAGACUACAUCACCGACAUCCGCACCCACCAUAGGAUCUGUAGCUCUGAUGAUGAUGAGCCUAAGUAUGAGUUGAUUGCCCCGGGUCCUGAAGACCGGGUUUGUUUUGGGAAGGCUGCCGAUGCUGACCCUCAUUUCUUUUUUAUGUAUGAGAGUCUCUUUACCCGUCUGGGGGUUUUUCUGCCCUUUUCUGACUUUGAGAUAGAGGUUCUGAACCGUUUCCGAGUUGCUCCCACCCAACUUCACCCCAACUCUUGGGGUUUCAUGAAAAUUUAUCAACUUGUUAGCCGAGAAUUAGAUUUUCCAACAACUUUAAAGAUUUUCUUUUAUCUUUUUCAUAUGACCAAGCCCUUCAGUGGGCAGAAUAAUAAGCAGCAGUGGAUCUCUUUCCGGGCCAUUGAAGGUCAGAAAGUCUUCUACAUUUUUGACGAUUCCUUCCAUGACUUCAAAAAUUUUUUCUUUAAAGUUCAAGCGGUAGAGCAUCACCAUCCAUUUUUUCUUGAUGAGAACUCCAACCUCCGAUUUCCUCUCUAUUGGUUUGAGGCCUCUCCUGUCAAAAAAUACGGUCUGGAAGAUUUGGAUGAAGUAGAAGAGGUUGUUGUAAAGUUUUUCCGAGUUGCUUGGGGGAGGUCCCCUAAUUUGGAUACAAAGAAUUUUCUAUUGGGCUCUUCGAGUUUUGUACGGAUCCAACUAGGUAGUCUUUCUUUGUUGUAGAUUAGCUUCCGACUUGUAGUCUAACCCUUUUGUUUUCUUCUUUUCAGAGAUGGUGAAGAAAGGCUCCAGCACCUCCUACCAGAAGGUUCAAGAUGCCAAGAAAAGGUCGCGGGCACGGGUUGAUGCCGCGAGGGCUGCCGAUACUCUUCUUCCUCCUCCUCCUCCUCCUCCACCACCUCCUCCUCCUCCUCCUCCAUGUGAUUUGGGGACCUCUUCUCACCUUAUUAUGGUAACUUCUGCUUCUGCCUCUUCUCUUCCUCCUCCCAUCCUCCAUGCCCGAGCUUCCCCUGAACCUGAGAAGAAAAAGCGUAAGACCUCGGGGUCAGGCUCUUCUUCUAGGAAUUUUGAUGGUCCCCACUUCAUUCGGAAUCACAUCUUUCCCCAUACUCAUAUUAAUAUGGAUGAUGCUUCCGUUCGAAACCAUCUUAAUAUCCUAGUUCAGGGGAGUGUUCAGGCUACUGGGGUAUGCAAAAAACUUCUUGAUAUUUUUGAGAAGACUCCCCUUAGCUCUUUGGGUUCUACCAAAAAAGUUGAAGAGCUAGAGGGGAGGAUUUUUCUUUAUCAAGAGGAAGAGAAGAGGCUCCAGGAGGAAGUUGCUAGUUUAAAGGAGGAGAGGUCCCGACUUCAGGAGAGGGAGAAGAAGUUGAUGGCCCAGUGUGCAAUGGCGGAGGGCCUGAAGGAGAAGGUGGAGCAGAAUUAUGUGAGGGUCUUUUCCGAGAACAUUAAUCUCCAGGGGGAGCUGAAGAAAGGUCGGGAGGCUUAUCAGGAUUUAAAGGACUCCGUGGCGGAGGGCUCGGAGGAGGCCUGGAGAAUUUUUAAAGAGCAAGUCGGAGUUAUUGCUCCUGGCCUGGAUGUCUCCCUUCUUGAUCCUGAUAAGAUUGUUAUGGACGGGGCUAUCAUUUUUCCUCUCCGACCUGAGACGGAUUCUGAGAUGAAGACUUGUGGCCAAAGAUUUGUAGAACCUCCUCCUCGUGAGGAUCAACUGGAAGGAUCUCAACCGACGUCUUCAGAUGUUCCGACCCCUGCUACCGAAGAGACUGCUCCGUCCUCCCCUGCCGCUGAUCCGACCUCUCUUCCUUCUGGUGACCCUUGAUUUUCCUUCUAAUUGAUUCGAGCUAUUUUGGGGGCCCGGCUUGUGGGCCCCUUUUGAAUAAUUUUUAUUUUUGUUAUUUUUGUGGUGGUUGCUCCUGACUUUUCUUGGCCUUUUAUGGCCGUUAACAAAAAAUGUUUUAAUUCCUGCCCCCUUUUUUAAAUAACGGGUUUUAAGAUUAAUUGUCGUAUGCAUGCUUUCUGCAAUUUUUUCCUUGUUAGGUUUUUUAUGAAAAACCCUUUUGAUAUUUUUGUUUUUGGAAAAAAACCUUUUUAUCUGGGCAGGCUGUGUUUUGUCUAAAUUGUCUUAGGUUUUCCAAAGACUCAAGACAGCUUCUGCUAUUGAUUUUUGAUGGUUUUUCUUGUCCUUUUUUUGUAUUCCUUGUACCCAAUUUUCGUUUAUUGAGUUUUCUGUAACUUAGGUUAUUUUUGCGAUGCAUUUCUAUUUUCUCGGUUCCUCCGACUAGGUAGUUGUUUUAGGUUUUGGGAUUCCGAGUUACUGCGAUCGACCGUGUAACCUCUUUACACCGACUUGUACCUCGUCAUUUUAUCCUACCGACCACGUAGGUUGGGAUGAGAUUUUCACGUUUUAUCGAGCUUAAGUCGGCACGUUUCGUAGGAAAAUGAUAAUAACUAUUGGAAUUUAUAAAGAGAUGCAGAAAAAGAUCUUUUUUUAUUGACGAAUGUACUUUUUGCUACUAAGGAGUUAAAAAUUGUUGCCCCUUAGCCUCCACUUUGAUGCCUCGUUAAAACCCCUUCAAGAAAACCCUUCUUUUCGGGAAAAAAACCAUGAAGUCAGGAAAAAGAGUACAUCAGAGAGUGGAGUUCACUUUUAACUAUAGUACCUUUUCAUAUUACAAGCAUGCCACGACCUAGGUAGCUCGGUACUGCUCAAGUCGGUUACCUUGUAGUAUCCCUUUCCUAAGACUUCACUUAUCUUAUAUGACCCUUUCCAAUUAGCAGCGAGCUUUUCUACCCCCGACUUGUUGACUCCGAUGUCAUUUCUGAUCAAGACCAAGUCAUAUGGGGCAAAGCUUCUUCGAAUGACUUUCUUGUUGUAUCUCUUUGUCAUCCUUUGCUUUAGCGUUGCUUCUCUUAUCUGGGCUUAUUCUCGGACUUUGCGGAGUAGCUCGAGUUCUUCUUUGUGCCCCUGUACGUUGCCAACCUCAUCGUAGAAGCUCACCCUUUGACUUUGCUCAUUGAUUUCAAUUGGUAUCAUGGCUUCUAUGCCAUAAGCAAGUCGGAAGGGUGUUUCCCUUGUGGCAGACUGAGGUGUAGUCCGAUAUACCCAUAGUACUUAAGGGAGUUUCUCAGCCCAUGCUCCUUUUGCAUCAUGCAACCUUUUCUUCAACCCAGCCAGUAUGACUUUGUUAGCUGCCUCAGCUUGCCCAUUUGCUUGUGGGUGUUCUACUGAAGUGAACUGAUGCUUGAUCUUCAUACUGGCUACCAGGUUUCUAAAGGUGAAGUCUGUGAACUGAGUUCCAUUAUCAGUGGUAAUGGAGUGGGGGACUCCAUACCUUGUGAUGAUGUUUUUGUAAAGGAAUUUCCGACUUCUCUGAGCGGCGAUGUGGCCAAUGGUUCUGCUUCGAUCCAUUUCGUGAAGUAGUCUACUCCCACUAUUAGGUACCUUAUUUGUCCAGGAACUUGGGGAAAGGGUCCUAAUAGGUCCAAUCCCCACUUUGCAAAAGGCCAUGGAGAAGUUAUGCUAAUGAGCUCCUCGGAGGGAGCGACGUGGAAGUUUGCAUACAUUUGGCAUGGUUGACACCUCUUUACGAAAUCGAUCGCAUCUUUCUGCAAGGUCGGCCAAUAGAACCCGGCUCGAAUGACUUUUCUAGCCAACGACCUUGCUCCGAGAUGAUUUCUGCAGAUACCAUUGUGGACUUACUCCAGUACUUCUAUCGUCCUUGAAGUCGGAACGCACUUCAAUAGUGGUGUGGAUAUUCCUCUUUUAUAGAGGAUAUUUUUCACCAAAGUGUAGAUUUGUGCUUCCCUCCGAAUUUUCUUGGCCUCUUUUUCCUCUUUGGGUAGGAUGUCGAAUUUCAUGUAUUCAAUUAGCGGGUUCAUCCAUCCGAAGUCCAAUUCGGAUACUUCAAGGACGUCUUGUUUGCCCUCUGUUUUUGUAACCGAGGGUUCUUGGAGAGUUUUUUGGAUCAGGCUUCUAUUAUUCCCUCCUGGCUUGGUACUUGCUAGUUUGGAGAAGGCGUCUGCUCUGCUGUUGAGAUCUCGAGUUAUGUGUUUGACCUCGGUCUCUGCAAAACGCCUAAGAUACUCCAAGAUUUUGUCUAAGUACCUCUUCAUAUCGGGGUCUUUAGCCUGAUACUCUCUAUUUAUUUGGGAGGUCACCACCUGAGAGUCGCUGAACACGACUACUUUGGUCGCUCCGACUUUCUCGACCAGCUUUAACCCUGCAAUCAAGGCUUCAUACUCUGCCUGAUUGCUAGAAGUUGGAAAUUCAAAUUUGAGGGAGACUUCUACUUGAUUUCCCUCUUGGUUGACAAAUAUUAUGCCUGCGCCGCUUCCGACUUUGUUGGAGGAUCCAUCCACGUAUAGCUCCCAUGCCGUGGAGGUUUUCCCUUGAUCUCCUGCAUAUUCUGCCACGAAGUCGGUUAGGUAUUAAGCUUUAAUUACUGUCCGAGUUUCGUACUUAAGGUCGAACUCGGAUAGCUCUAUGGCCCAUUGAACCAUUCUACCCGCAAUAUCCAUUUUCUGAAGGAUUUGCUUCAUGGGUUGGUUCGUUCGAACUCUUAUUGUGUGUGCUUGAAAGUAAGGCUGUAACCUUCGAGAGGCUAUAAUUAAGGAGUUCGCAAACUUUUCAAGUUUUUGAUACCUUAACUCAGGGCCUUGUAGGACUUUACUGGUGAAGUACACAGGAUGCUGCCCGACCUCGUCUUCUCGUAUUAGAGCUGAUGCUACAGCUUUGUCUGCUACAAACAAAUACAGGACAAGUUCUUUCCCAACCUUAGGUCGGGUCAGAAUGGGAGGUUGGCUUAAAAAUCUUUUGAACUCCCGGAAUGCUUCUUCGCACUCAGGAAUCCAUUCGAACUGGCAUGCUUUUCUUAGUAGAGAGAAUAGUGGUAGGGAUCUUAAUGCUGAUCCCGCCAAGAACCUGGAGAGAGCUGCAAGUCGGCCAUUAAACUGCUGGACCUCCCUUAAGCAAGUCGAAUUUUUCAUUUCUAGGGCUGCUUUGCACUUGUCGGGGUUUGCUUCAAUCCCCCUUUGUGUAAGCAUAAAUCCCAAAAAUUUUUCUGCCUCCACCGCGAAGGUGCAUUUUGCAGGAUUCAGUCUCAUCCCAUGCAUCCUAAUGGUGUUGAAGACUUGCGAGAGGUCGGUCAAGAGGUCGGCCUCAUCCUUGGUUUUUACUAGUAUGUCGUCUACAUAGACUUCCAUUAAACUCCCAAUGUGAGAUGCAAACACCUUAUUCAUCAGCCUUUGGUAUGUGGCUCCUACAUUUUUUAACCCAAAAGGCAUGACCACAUAGCAAUAGGUCUUGAAAGAUGUUUUUUUCUUGAUCCGCCUUAUACAUCGAAAUUUGAUUAUACCCCGAGUACGCAUCCAUAAAUGACAAGUAUUGAUACCCCGAGCUGGAGUCUACAAAGGCAUCAAUGUUUAGAAGUGGAUAUAGGUCUUUAGGACACACCUUGUUCAGGUCGGUGUAAUCGACGCACAUCCUCCACUUGCCGUUUUGCUUUUUGACCAGCACCACAUUUGCCAGCCACGCCAGAUAUUUAACCUCUUUGAUGAAGUCGGCUUCUAGGAGGGCUUGUACUUGCUCUUCCACCACUUGGGCCCAUUCAGGUCCGAGCUUCCGUCUUCUUUGUUGAACAGGUCGUGAUCCGGCGUAUACUGAUAGCUUAUGCGACAUAAGUUCGGAAUCUAUCCCUGGCAUGUCGAAGGCUUUCCAGGCGAAGAGGUCGAAAUUCUCUUGUAGGAACUUUAUAAGCUUCUGCUUCAGAUCUUCUUUCAGAUUGGCUCCUAUGUUGGUAUUUUUUCCUUCCUCUUCUCCGACCUGUAUCUCUUCAGUUUUUCUCCCGGGUUGUGGUCGCAACUCUUCUUUAGCCUUGAUUCCUCCGAACUCAAUUGUGUGCACCUCCUUACCCUUUCCUCUCAGGUUCAGGCUUUCAUUAUAACACUUUCUCGCCAAUUUUUGAUCUCCCUUAAUGGUUGCAAUUCCCUAUGGUGUUGGGAAUUUCAUGCAAAUGUGGGGUGUAGAUACCACUACUCUGAGCCGAUUUAGGGUUGUUCUGCCUAUUAGGGCAUUGUAGACUGAAUCCACAUCAACGACUAUAAAGUCGAUGCUAAGAGUUUUGGACUUUGCCCCUUUUCCAAAAGUUGUGUGUAGGGAUAUGAAUCUCAGUGGCUUUAUUAGUGUAUCCCCUAACCCAUAUAAGGUGUCAGGGUAAGCUCUUAAUUCCUUUUCAUCCAACCCCAACUUAUCAAACGCUGGUUUGAACAGGAUAUCGGCCGAGCUCCCCUGCUCUACCAGGGUUCUGUGUAGAUGGGCAUUGGCAAGGAUCAUAGUGACCACUACCGGAUCGUCAUGUCCGGGAACUAUGCCUUGCCCAUCUUCUUUAGUGAAAGAGAUGGUUGGGAGGUCGGGGACUUCGCCCCCGACUUAGUAGACUUCCUUCAGAUGCCUUUUUCAAGAUGACUUUGUGAGGCCACCUCCAGCAAACCCCCCUGAGAUCAUGUGUAUAUGUCCUUCUGGGGUCUGUGGUGGCGGGUCUCUUCGGUCUUCGUCAUCUCGCUUUCUCUUGCCGUGAUGGUCCGACCUUUCCAUGAGAUAUCUAUCCAGCCGACCUUCUCUGGCCAGCUUUUCUAUCACAUUUUUUAGGUCGUAACAAUCAUUUGUUGAGUGACCAUAUAGUUUAUGGUACUCACAGUAGUCGCUACGACUUCCCCCUUUCUUAUUUUUGAUGGGCCUAGGGGGAGGUAGUCUUUCGGUAUGACAAAUUUCCCUGUAGACGUCAACUAGGAAAACUCGUAGAGGAGUAUAGGAGUGAUAUUUCCUAGGCCUUUCAGGGCCGAUUUCCUCUUUUUUCUUGGGUUCUCUCUUUCUCUUUUGAUGAGUGAGAGGGCCCAGGUUGCCAAUGUGGCUCUCGCAACCUGGCAUUUUACUCCAUGUUGAUGUACUUUUCAACUCUCUCUUGUACAUCACUCAGAGAGGUCGGUUGCCUUUUCGAGAUGGACUGGGAGAAGAGACCUUCUCGGAGUCCAUUCACUAGGCCCAUAAUCACUGCCUCCGUGGGCAGGUCUUGAAUUUCCAAACACGCUUUGUUGAACCUUUCCAUGUAGUCCCUCAAAGGUUCUCUGACCUCCUGUUUUACUCCCAGGAGGCUCGAUGCGUGCUUCACUUUAUCCUUUUGGAUUGAGAAUCACAUGAGAAGCAUCUGUGAGAGGUCGUCGAAACUAUUGACUGACCUCGGGGGAGGCUAUCGAACCACUUCAUCGCUGCUUUAGUCAGGGUUGUCGGAAAAGUCUUGCAGCGAGUAGCAUCAGAAGCGUCAGCUAGGUACAUCCGACUUUUAAAAUUGCUUAAAUGAUGCUUUGGAUCAGUAGUUUCAUCGUAGAGGUCCAUAUCAGGGCUUUUAAAGUUUCUUAAAACUUUUGCCCUCAUUAUGUCCUCACUGAACGGAUCUUCUCCUCCCAAGGAAGAGUCUUCUCGGUCACUGACUCACUGUGAGAGUUUCAACCUUUCAGAGCGGACUCUAGUCUUAGGAGUUUUUCCUUAAGCUCCUUUCGUCGCUCAAUCUCGUUCCUCAAAUUUCUCUCUGCCUCUUGCUAUCGCUCCAGCUCUUGCUCCAAUUGCUCCAGGCUCCCCUGGUGGCCAUAGAAUAAUCUCAUGAAGUCGGCUGCAUGGGGUUUCCCUUCCUUUCUUGGUUCACGCCCCUCAGAGGAGUUUUCCUUUUGGUCUUUCACUCCUGAGGUGCCUUCUUUGUGCUAGUUAGUCGCCCCUUGGUGGGUGACUAUUGCUCUAUCGUUAUUAGCGGCGUCCUGAUUCUCUUGCUCAGAAUCAGACGUUGUAUUUCCAUCCUCAUUGAAUUCGUCCGCCAUUACUGGUUGAUCUCUCGGGUCCCUAGCAACGGCACCAAUGUUACGAUGGAUAACUAGAGAUUAAUGGGCUGGACUGAUAAGGUUGGCCCAAACGUCUAGAUGAGGUGAUCUCCGACUUGAUUUGCGUCUGGGAGCCACCGUUCGACUUGUGUGUAUGGGGGUGGUACCUGCAAAGACACUCUGAUGCCUAAGUUAGCAAAGGGUUUUAGCAGGUUUAGAGAGUAUUGGAACUUAUAGAUACCUGAGGGGUGUCAGUGUAUUUAUAGUGGUGAACCAAUAACCACCGUUUGAGUAGUUCUACCUUUUAAGGAGGAUAACCGUCCCUUUAUCUUAGGGAAGUUGAGAUAUGGCUCUUGAAAGUGGGUUGAGAGAUUUUAGGGGCACUUACUUAUUUGAAUAAGCAUGAUCUGCCAGCUGUCCUUCGAGCCUGACUUCUUUGAGGUGGAGUCUGUGUUAAUUCCGACCUCCUCUGAGGAGGUCGGUCGGAAGCGAAGGCCAAUCUUUGAAUUGGGCUUUUUAGUGUGUUUGAACCUGGGCUCUAGUGUUGGAUCAGGAUAUGAACAGGAAGCAUAUUUGUGGUUGUUUGUGGCCCAUUUGAUUUUGCAUAAAUAUCAUAUAAUGGCUAAAUUUAUGGUAUUUUUUUUUUUAGAAAAACUCAACUUUAAAGAGAAGAAAGAAAAGCCAUGGUAUAUUCUACGAUUUAUCAACUUCAAAUACAAUUAUAUACCAUUCGUGCAGCACAUGUAACUCAAUAUUAAAUAGUUAAAAACACAAAUACACAAUGCAUUUCACCAUAUUUAUCACUAAGUUGCUUUUAAACUCAGCUAUAUUUCAUAUUCAUAUUCCCGGUUAUAAAAAUAAAAGUACACAAUUUGAACAUGAUCUUCCUUUUUGAAAUUAGAAUUUGAACAACAAAAGUUAAGGACAAUUUUUCAUUAAAAAAUCAGAGCUCGUCCACAAAUUUAAGAUAUUAAUAUACUAAGAUAUAUAGCUAGUUAGCCUUUAGGCUAAAAUUAAUAUAUUGAUUCAACAUAAAUACUUGUUUAGAGAGAAAUCCCAAACUUUUGAGUUAAAUUUAAGUUAAUUAGAAAGUAUUUGGGUGAUUGAAUUUCUUUUAUUAUAUUUUAAAAUUAUUUGGACAUAUUGAAACACUGUAUCGAACACACAUUGACACACUCCCAUCAUUUUUUUCCUCUUAAAAUGGUAUAUUCAUCAUGUGAUAUCUAAUAGUUAUGCUUAAAAUUCCUAGAAUGCUUAAUUUACUUCAUUUCAUUCGUUGUCAGACAUUUUGUCAUUUUGUACAACCUCAAGAAGAUCAUAGGUACUCCAAAAUAUAAGUGAACAUUUUUGCAUUAAAUAAGGGGAACAUAUCUAAAUUGUAACAUUGUGAUAGGAUGCUGAUAUUGAAAGGCAAACACUUGUGCAAGAUAACGCUAUAAAUAAAGCAUAAAACAUACAAUUUUUCAUUAUUGGUAUUGAGGAACUAAUCAAAACAAUAAAACAUUUCAUUAUUGGUAUUGAUGGAACUAAUCACAACAAUAAAACAGUAAAUCGCAUCAUCUAUAUAAAAAGAGAAACUUUAAGCAUGAAAAUUGAAUUAGUUAGUUGAUAGAAAAACCAUCUUUCUUUGGCCAAAUAAAAUGAACACCUUAAAAACAAUGAAAGAAGAAAAAAAAAAUACCACAACAUUUCAUUUGAUUUUUAAUAAUAGUUAAAACAAACAAACAGCAUUACUCUGCACAAAAAUUUUCUUACAUUCCUAUAUUACAUUUCUUGAGCUUACGGAUUAACUAAAAUAUGAUCUUAUUUUUUUCUGUUUUUUUUUUCAAUCAUCAAUUCCAUUGCAGCAGUAAUAAAUGGCACACUGACUAAGAAUCUAGAUACAUAUUCAAAACGGUGCCAUAAAUGUUUGGUACAGGGUACUCUUCUUCUUUUUGUUGAUUCACACGAGUUCACAAAGCUGCAACAAUGAUAACACAAUUGCAACAUCACUUUAGUAAAACAUUUUCUAAAAAGUGAUUUGCAAAAGAGAUAGUAGUAUGACUAUUAAAGCAAACAUAAACAAACAAAAUCACUUGUAAUUAAAAUGCGAAGAACAAAAACUUGAUCUAAAUGAGUAACAAUAUAAUAUAUGCAUGUAUGCUUACAUAGAUAUAUAAAUGUAGAUGCAUAUCUGUUGUUGCAGCCUCUUGUAUCUUACAUUCUUUUCUAGCAGGUAAUCCACUUUAACCAACAUACCACAAUAUGAAAUCCACACAGAAAUUUCAAGGACUAAAUUAUCAUAAAUUCAUCAUAAUGUUACUCAAAUAACUAAAAAAAGGAGAAUUAUCAUCAUACUGCAAAAGGAGAGAGACUCCACAUACAAAAGAACUAAGAAAAGUGAAAAUUAGAAAAAUAUCUUAAGUUAAAAAAAUAAAUAAAUAAAUUAAAUAAAUUUCUGAUUUGACAUAUAAAGCUAAAACAUUGAAAAGAAAGUAUUAAUCAAAAUAAGGAAAGAAUUAAAAAAAAGUGAAAUUAAUCCAUAGCAAAAUUUUAAACUCACGGUAGACCACCAAAUACUUUGAUCAUUUUGAAAUAUUUAAAUUCAAAUUUACCUGAGGAAAGAAUGCUGUCUCGAGAGCCCAAGUGUAACGGGUAUAGUGCCUUGCAUGUCUCCCACUUGAAACCCCAUGUCUCCUUUACUAUCUGAAGUUCUGAACACACUGACAAAAGUAACAAAAUUACAAACAGUUAGUGAGCAAAAUGCGAAAAGGAAAAAGCUGCCAACUUUGAGGGUAUCCGACAUCAUAAAAAUAAGAAUUGAAACCAAAUUUAUAAAAAUUAGAGAGAAAUGAAAGAUGGGUAUUGAUAAAAUGUGAGUGUACCAAUUGCUUGAGUUGGAGAGUAGCAUAAACAAUGCCCUUACCUCAUCAUCAUUAUGAACCUGAAACAUCCUUGGAAUUAUUAUUUUCAAAACUUUGGCAAACAAAAAUACAAAAUUAAGUUAGGACAAAGUUCCUCAGAAGGGUAUUUAACCAAUUCUCUUUAUGCAAAUAUUUCAUAUACUCUUGGAGGAAUUUUCACUUAUAACAGAAAGCACAGUCCCUUUCUUCUUCCCCCUCUCAUCGUUAACUUACUCGAAUUUUUUUCUUGUCAGCCCUCAACUCCUAUUCUCUAAUUUCGUAAAAUAAGCUGAAAGAUUUAUAAAAAGAAUCCCCUUCAACAAUGAAAGUGAAUUUGUCCUGGUGAUUGUGCAUUUGUGAUAAUGGAAUGCAUCACAAAGCAAUACAAAACGUAUGAAAUUCAAGUAUGAGAAGUAGUAAUCAUCUCAAUGAAACCAAUUAGAAAUUGAACUUAAGUUUAAAAUAUAUUCUUAGCAAAAUUUAAUUGCAGUCAUCAAAACACUAAAAGGGAAGAUAAGGAAAAUAAUGAGAACAUACAAAAAAAAAAGAGAGAGAGGCAGAAAGACUAAUAAAAGAAUCACAGAAACAGAAAAGCAGCGAAUCAACAGUGUUUCAAAUCCCAUAGGAGCUAGUCAAUUUAAAUGAUUUUGCCCCAUUUCAUUGUUUGAAUAGAGCUAGUCGUUUUAAAUGAUUUUGCUCCAUUUCAUUGUUUGAAUUUGAACAACACCAUUUCACUCAAGUUCAAUAAUUUCAUUUAUUUCCUUAUCCGUUAAAGCAAACAAAUCCUAGUCUAAUAUUACAUUCUGAACAAUUCAAUUCAUCUUAUAAAACCUGCAAAUAAUAAUAAUAAUAAAUAAAUAAAUAUUUUUUUCUCAAGCCAAUAUUUUACAUAGAUCCUUCUAUAUCCCCCCCCUUAAUUUUUCUUACAGAAGCAGAAGAGUGUAACAAAGCUCUUAGUUACCACUUACCAAUAUUGGAAAGUAUGCUCAAAAUGACUCAGCUCGCACUGCUUCGGAAGGGUAAGCCUGACCUGAACCAAAGAAAUGCACAACACCACAACACAGUUUCACAUUUCAACACAAAAUUCACAUUACAAUCCACUAAAACCGUGGAAAAAACUAAAAAACAAAAGGGGUAAAAGGAGAAAGUGAUGAAUGUGUCGUAUAGAAGAAGUCUCACCAUCAUUUCCUGUUAGCAGGAGACAAACGUCGAUCUCAAAUCUGUUCCUGACUUCUUCCACCGUCCACAUCGGUUGGCUUUUCAGUAUGACCCUCGUCGCUGUAAAUCCCUCUUAGUCGGUGGUUGCAACCUCUUCUGGGAUAGUAUCUUGCUCUGGAAUCACUCUGACCUACAAAUUGGGAAGACUCUAAUCAAAUGAGAUCAGAGAAGAGAGAAAGGGGAACCAAAAACAAAAAGAGAAGAGUGAAAAAGGGAAAGGGUUUCAGGGGAAGAGAGAGUGAUUAUGAGAGUGAUAGUGAGGAAAGUUAAAAAAGAGAAAGAUUCAAAAGGAUUGAAAUUCGAAAAUUUUUGAAAGAUUCGCGCUCAAAAUUGCUGAAACUUCUUCCCUUCAUCCUAUUAACCAAAAAUUAGAACAAUUAUCUGCAAGAUAAUUACUCGGCAAUCCCAUGUUUAUACCAUGAAACCAAUCACAAAGCAGCAUUUGAACUCGAAAGAGUGAUUUGGGGAUUGCUGAAGCCACCUCUGCCUUCGAUCCCGUAGACAAAAAAGGACCUUGCAACAGUUCAAAACAUUGCAGGAGAGAAUUCGAGAAAUAAGUAGUUCCCUCACUUUUUCAGCUUCAAAUGGGUUAAAAAAAAGAUACAAAAAGGACAGAGGUUGUAAAUAACAAUGUAUAUGUAGGACAGAAUUGUAAUAACAUAAGAAACACGUGUCUCACCAACGAAGCUUGUGGAUGUAGUUUUACUAUUUUGCUAGCCAUCUUUAUAAUUAUAAAUUGAUUGCCCACUAGUUGUUUCGCUAAGGGUUGUCACAACAUGGAUACCUACGAUGAAGUCGUCGAAUAUAAACAACAGGAGUGGGUGGACGACACACAUUAGAUGUUACUGUUGCCUCUUAUCAUCCCUUAAAUCUGUUGGGAGUUGAUGAGAUACAUGGAGGUUGGUCAUGAUGCCUUCCCCACAACCAUGAAUUAUGAUACCAAAUCUCUUGGGAGAUCUGAACGGUUUUUUGGGUACAAGUUGAAAGCUGAUCCCUGUUCC